rnacentral:rRNA from 2 species
AUGGCAUAACGAGGGUUUAACUGUCUCCCUCCCCUAGUCAAUGAAAUUGAUCUGCCCGUGCAGAAGCGGGCAUAAAUACAUAAGACGAGAAGACCCUAUGGAGCUUUAGACGAAAGAUCAAACAUGUAAAGAAACCAAACUAACCAAAAGGAACACAAAGGCCACUAAACCCAACGUAAAAUGAUCCAAAUGUCUUCGGUUGGGGCGACCAUGGGGGAAAGAAAAGCCCCCACGAGGAACUAGGGGCAAUCCAUUAAGUCAAGAGAUACACCUCUAAGCAACAGAAAAUCUGACCAAAAAUGACCCAGGACACUAAUCCUGAUCAACGAACCAAGUUACCCUAGGGAUAACAGCGCAAUCCUUUCCCAGAG